ACGCUCGACACCUACGGGAGGUAGCAGUCGGGAAUAUUGCGCAAUGGAGGAAACUCUGACGCAGUGACGCCGCGUAUGGGAAGAAGGUUUUCGGAUUGUAAACCAUUUUAGACAGGGAAGAAAAAAGACAGUACCUGUAAAAUAAGCUCCGGCUAACUACGUGCAAGCAGCCGCGGUAAUCUGAGCGGGCUGGCAAGGC
rnacentral:rRNA from 1 species